UAGCUCAGUUGGUAGAGCAGUUGACUUUUAAUCAAUUGGUCGCAGGUUCGAAUCCUGCACGACCCACCACUCGCUAAGGUGGUAUGAAUAGCGAGAGCGUGAAGGAUAACGUUGCACAGCAACGGCACAAAGGACGAGGCGAAGCCGAGUCAUCCUGCACGACCCACCA
rfam:Cronobacter sp. DJ34 Bact_Masurca_51, whole genome shotgun sequence.